rnacentral:rRNA from 1 species
UACGUAGGGGGCUAGCGUUGUCCGGAAUCAUUGGGCGUAAAGCGCGUGUAGGCGGUCCGGUAAGUCCGCUGUGAAAGUCGAGGGCUCAACCCUCGAAUGCCGGUGGAUACUGUCGGGCUAGAGUACGGAAGAGGCGAGUGGAAUUCCUGGUGUAGCGGUGAAAUGCGCAGAUAUCAGGAGGAACACCAAUUGCGAAGGCAGCUCGCUGGGACGUUACUGACGCUGAGGAGCGAAAGCAUGGGGAGCGAACAGG